rnacentral:rRNA from 1 species
GAGGAGUCCGCGGCCGAUUAGCUUGUUGGUAGGGUAACGGCCUACCAAGGCCAAGAUCGGUAGCCGGCCUGAGAGGGCACACGGCCACACUGGCACUGAAACACGGGCCAGACUCCUACGGGAGGCAGCAGUGGGGAAUCUUGCACAAUGGGGGAAACCCUGAUGCAGCGACGCCGCGUGAGCGAUGAAGCCCUUCGGGGUGUAAAGCUCUUUCGGCAGGGAAGAUGAUGACGGUACCUGCAGAAGCAGCUGCGGCUAACUACGUGCCAGCAGCCGCGGUAAUACGUAGGCAGCAAGCGUUGUUCGGAGUUACUGGGCGUAAAGGGUGUGUAGGCGGUCCUCUAAGUCUGGUGUGAAAUCUCCCGGCUCAACUGGGAGGGUGCGCCGGAAACUGGAGGGCUUGGAGUGCGGGAUGGGAAAGUGGAAUUCCUGGUGUAGCGGUGAAAUGCGUAGAUAUCAGGAGG